rnacentral:rRNA from 1 species
UACGGGGGGGGGGCAAGCGUUGUUCGGAAUUACUGGGCGUAAAGGGCUCGUAGGCGGCCAACUAAGUCAGACGUGAAAAUCCCCUCGGCUUAACCGAGGAAACUGCGUCUGAUACUGGAUGGCUUGAGUUUUGGGGAGAGGGAUGCGGAAUUCCAGGUGUAGCGGUGAAAAUGCGUAGAUAUCUGGAGGAACACCGGUGGCGAAGGCGGCAUCCUGGACCAACACUGACGCUAGUGAGCGAAAAAGCCCAGGGGGGAGCAAAAACGGGGAUUAAGAAAAACCCCCCAGUAGUCCCAGAACC